GUCAGGGUAGCUCAGUCGGUUAGAGCACGGGAUUCAUAAACCCGAGGUCGGCGGUUCGAUCCCGCCCCCUGAUAC
rnacentral:tRNA from 15 species